rnacentral:rRNA from 1 species
AAAGCUUGCUUUUGAAAGGUCAGCGGCGGACGGGUGAGUAACACGKGGGCAACCUGCCUGUAAGACUGGGAUAACUUCGGGAAACCGGAGCUAAUACCGGAUAAUAURAKGAACCUCCUGGUUCUUUAUUGAAAGAUGGUUUCKGCUAUCACUUACAGAUGGGCCCGCGGMSCWUUAGCUAGUUGGUGAGGUAACGGCUCACCAAGGCGACGAUGCGUAGCCGACCUGAGAGGGUGAUCGGCCACACUGGGACUGAGACACGGCCCAGACUCCUACGGGAGGCAGCAGUAGGGAAUCUUCCACAAUGGACGAAAGUCUGAUGGAGCAACGCCGCGUGAGCGAUGAAAGUCUUCCGGUCGUAAAGCUCUGUUGUUUGGGAAGAACAAUGGCCAGAGUGACUGCUCGCACCUUGACGGGRCCUAACCUAAAAGCCACGGUKAACUACG